GCCAAGUCGAGCGGACAGAUGGGAGCUUGCUCCCUGAUGUUAGCGGCGGACGGGUGAGUAACACGUGGGUAACCUGCCUGUAAGACUGGGAUAACUCCGGGAAACCGGGGCUAAUACCGGAUGGUUGUUUGAACCGCAUGGUUCAAACAUAAAAGGUGGCUUCGGCUACCACUUACAGAUGGACCCGCGGCGCAUUAGCUAGUUGGUGAGGUAACGGCUCACCAAGGCAACGAUGCGUAGCCGACCUGAGAGGGUGAUCGGCCACACUGGGACUGAGACACGGCCCAGACUCCUACGGGAGGCAGCAGUAGGGAAUCUUCCGCAAUGGACGAAAGUCUGACGGAGCAACGCCGCGUGAGUGAUGAAGGUUUUCGGAUCGUAAAGCUCUGUUGUUAGGGAAGAACAAGUACCGUUCGAAUAGGGCGGUACCUUGACGGUACCUAACCAGAAAGCCACGGCUAACUACGUGCCAGCAGCCGCGGUAAUACGUAGGUGGCAAGCGUUGUCCGGAAUUAUUGGGCGUAAAGGGCUCGCAGGCGGUUUCUUAAGUCUGAUGUGAAAGCCCCCGGCUCAACCGGGGAGGGUCAUUGGAAACUGGGGAACUUGAGUGCAGAAGAGGAGAGUGGAAUUCCACGUGUAGCGGUGAAAUGCGUAGAGAUGUGGAGGAACACCAGUGGCGAAGGCGACUCUCUGGUCUGUAACUGACGCUGAGGAGCGAAAGCGUGGGGAGCGAACAGGAUUAGAUACCCUGGUAGUCCACGCCGUAAACGAUGAGUGCUAAGUGUUAGGGGGUUUCCGCCCCUUAGUGCUGCAGCUAACGCAUUAAGCACUCCGCCUGGGGAGUACGGUCGCAAGACUGAAACUCAAAGGAAUUGACGGGGGCCCCGCACAAGAA
rnacentral:rRNA from 1 species